rnacentral:rRNA from 1 species
AGAAUCUUUCACAAUGGGGGAAACCCUGAUGGAGCGACGCCGCGUGGGGGAUGAAUGGCUUCGGCCCGUAAACCCCUGUCAUUUGCGAACAAAUUUCAUGACCCAAUACGUCAUGCAUUGAUUGUAGCGCAAGAGGAAGGGACGGCUAACUCUGUGCAAGCAGCCGCGGUAAUACAGAGGUCCCAGGCGUUGGUCGGAUUCACUGGGCGUAAAGGGUGCGUAGGUGGUCGGGUAAGUCUGAUGUGAAAUCUCCGAGCUCAACUCGGAAACUGCAUUGGAUACUAUUCGGCUAGAGGAUUGGAGGGGAGACUGGAAUUCUCGGUGUAGCAGUGAAAUGCGUAGAUAUCGAGAGGAACACCAGUGGCGAAGGCGAGUCUCUGGACAAUUCCUGACACUGAGGCACGAAAGCUGGGGGAGCAAAC